UCGAAAUCGGUAGACGCUACGGACUUGAGGGUUCAAGUCCCUCUACCCCCAUCGGAAAAUAUUUUUUAGAUUGUAC
rnacentral:tRNA from 1 species